rnacentral:rRNA from 1 species
UACGGAGGGAGCGAGCGUUGUCCGGAAUUACUGGGCGUAAAGGGCGCGUAGGCGGGAACUUAAGUUAGAUGUGAAAACUCCGGGCUUAACCUGGAGACUGCAUUUAAAACUGGGUUUCUUGAGGGCAGGAGAGGAAAGUGGAAUUCCUAGUGUAGCGGUGAAAUGCGUAGAUAUUAGGAGGAACACCAGUGGCGAAGGCGACUUUCUGGACUGUACCUGACGCUGAGGCGCGAAAGCAUGGGGAGCGAACAGG